rnacentral:rRNA from 1 species
GUGGGGAAUAUUGGACAAUGGGGGGAACCCUGAUCCAGCCAUGCCGCGUGUGUGAAGAAGGCCUUUUGGUUGUAAAGCACUUUAAGCGAGGAGGAGGCUACCGAGAUUAAUACUCUUGGAUAGUGGACGUUACUCGCAGAAUAAGCACCGGCUAACUCUGUGCCAGCAGCCGCGGUAAUACAGAGGGUGCAAGCGUUAAUCGGAUUUACUGGGCGUAAAGCGCGCGUAGGUGGCAAAUUAAGUCAAAUGUGAAAUCCCCGAGCGUAACUUGGGAAUUGCAUUCGAGACUGGUUGGCUAGAGUAUGGGAGAGGAUGGUAGAAUUCCAGGUGUAGCGGUGAAAUGCGUAGAGAUCUGGAGGAAUACCGAUGGCGAAGGCAGCCAUCUGGCCUAAUACUGACACUGAGGUGCGAAAGCAUGGGGAGCAAACAGGAUUAGAUACCCGGGUAGUCC